rnacentral:rRNA from 1 species
UCGGAGUGCUUGCACUCUGUGAAACAAGAUACAGGCUAGCGGCGGACGGGUGAGUAACACGUGGGUAACCUGCCUAAGAGAUCGGGAUAACACCUGGAAACAGAUGCUAAUACCGGAUAACAACAGAUGAUGCCUAUCAACUGUUUAAAAGAUGGUUCUGCUAUCACUCUUGGAUGGACCUGCGGUGCAUUAGCUAGUUGGUAGGGUAACGGCCUACCAAGGCGAUGAUGCAUAGCCGAGUUGAGAGACUGAUCGGCCACAUUGGGACUGAGACACGGCCCAAACUCCUACGGGAGGCAGCAGUAGGGAAUCUUCCACAAUGGACGCAAGUCUGAUGGAGCAACGCCGCGUGAGUGAAGAAGGGUUUCGGCUCGUAAAGCUCUGUUGUUGGUGAAGAAGGACAGGGGUAGUAACUGACCUUUGUUUGACGGUAAUCAAUUAGAAAGUCACGGCUAACUACGUGCCAGCAGCCGCGGUAAUACGUAGGUGGCAAGCGUUGUCCGGAUUUAUUGGGCGUAAAGCGAGUGCAGGCGGCUCGAUAAGUCUGAUGUGAAAGCCUUCGGCUCAACCGGAGAAUUGCAUCAGAAACUGUCGAGCUUGAGUACAGAAGAGGAGAGUGGAACUCCAUGUGUAGCGGUGAAAUGCGUAGAUAUAUGGAAGAACACCGGUGGCGAAGGCGGCUCUCUGGUCUGUUACUGACGCUGAGGCUCGAAAGCAUGGGUAGCGAACAGGAUUAGAUACCCUGGUAGUCCAUGCCGUANACGAUGAGUGCUAAGUGUUGGGAGGUUUCCGCCUCUCAGUGCUGCAGCUAACGCAUUAAGCACUCCG